UCCUUCUUUUUCAACAAAAAUAAAAAAUAAAAAAGCCCCCAUGUAUCUCACUUAUAAAAUCCAGCCUACCCACCCCACGCUUGGAAACCAUCAAAAAAAAGAAAGCAACAACACACACAAAAGUAACAACACUCUCCAAGAUUCACACUAUUUUCCUGCAUAUUCAAACAUGGAUGCUGAGUUGAAGAAGAGCCAUGUCCCAGCAUUUGGAAGCUGGGACUGCAAUGAUGACCUUCCCUUCACUCAGUGCUUUGAAUCAGCUAGACAAGCUGGCCUCCUGCGUUACAGCUACUCUGAGGACCGGGAUUUGUACGUGGCUGGUGAUUUGUACCAGAACGAUAUCGUCACUCCGGCUAUGAUUGUGGUUCCUCGUCGAAGGACAAAAGCAGCAGCAGGGAAAAAAGAAGGAUGGGUGGUAUGUGAAUGUGAGCACAAGUAUGAUGUGAAGCAACCACCGAGCCCUGUAGCUCAUCAUGCUCCACCACCAACUUACCUCCCCAAAGCUGUGGAUGAGGAUCUCUACAAGAUUUCUCCUGACCUUCUCUACGCCAAUUCCAAAAGGAAGAGGGGAUUUGGUCUGUUUUCAUGCUGCCUGAGGCCAAGCUGUGACUUGUGAAUCUAGGGAAUGAGAGCUCUCAAGACUUGUUUCAGAUGGGAAGAGUGAUAGACAAAUAUCAAAUAUAUAUAAUAUUUAGUACAUAUGUGAAAAAUGUUUGUGUGGCUACCUAGUGUUUCAGUAGACAAAAAUUGCCAGCUAAUUACAUUGUUGACAAACAUAACAAGUGUAGCUUUUUUAUUUGAUCAUCUUGAUGUGAUGCUUGAAUUUCUAGCUUUUUUAUUUGAUCAUCUUGGUGUGAUGCUUGAAUUUCAUAGUCUCCUUUUAUUAUCUAUUUUCAGCAAAACACUUUUAUCAUUAUACUGAUUACGAUAUUAACAAAUAUUUAUAAAGUUAAAUCGACACUUGAUGGCCGUCGGGAUUUUACGAAGUUUCCGUAGCCUUCAUUUGUGGGUGAGUGAGUGUGUUUUUUUUUUCCUCCCCUUGAAGGGGUUUAAACAGCGCUAUUUAUACUACUAGUGCUGCUUGCUUGAGGGGAUGACUGGGCUAGUCUAGGGACUAGGACGAUGAGGAGGACGAGCUAUAAUAGGACAGGUGGGGGUGAUCCCGGGUUUUCGGGGAUGACAGGUCAAGGAAGGAACUCCACGUGUCCAGGUGCUUCGGGGUUGACAAGCUGAGAGCUGACAAGGAGCUUGAUCACUAUUCUGGGCAAAGCCUACGGUUCGCCGGAGGAUCAGGGGGGGGGGCUUGCGGUUUCUGUAGGCGUUGCUAGAGUCCUACAGUUUUAAGGGCCAUCAGAUGCCCCUCGGAUGGGGAGGCGACCCUUUAGGGUCCUGAGGCGUCCGAAAUACCCUAUUUUUCCUUUUUCUUUUUGUAUAUUGUUCUGAGUUCAAAAACAGAAGGGGAAGCGGCAGUUUUGUUUCUCUGUAGUGGCGGGCCCCACUUCAACAGUCAUCAUGGGUGGUUUAUCAAAAGUUGUGCCUACUAAUUAGGCUUUAAUGAUUUAUAUGUAUGUAUAAGAGUACACAUUAGUUUUUUCUUACUCCAUUUUUCUCUCAAUAGCGGCUUUCUCUGGAGUUAGGACGAGUGGAGGAGAAAAGCGGAGAUCUCUCCAGGGCACCAACCGAAGUUCUUGCCGUCGUUGUUCACAGGUAUGCGUUGUCUCCUUUACAUGUUUCUUUAUGUUCCAGUUCUUUCGUGGAUGGAACCAUUGUUUGAGUAUUUCUGGUAGUUUGCUUUAUCUCGUUCAUAUGUUCGUGUGUAUACGGGGCUCGACCUUUUGGCUGGUUUGGGGAUCGGGUUAGGAGUGGGGGUUUUUGUUAGAUUGUUCUCAUUGUAACUCGAUUUGGGGGAGAAACAGAGGAUUAGGGUUACAAAGAUAUGUUGAUUGUUGAGUAAAUGGAAUUAAUGGGUUAACUUGGGAUUUUGGCGAGGUCGAGACGGGUUGCAGCCCUAACCGCCCUUUAUUGUUAUUUGACAGAGAUGGGUAAACGAAGAGGACGAGAUGUGUCAGAGGGGGGCGAGAGCCCUUCGGAUUCAGAAAACCGGUUUUUAUCUGAUUCUCCAGACGUGGGGGUCGAUUCUAGUGAGGGUAGUGACAGCAAUAAUAAGGAAGUUUCUUCUUUCGAGGGGGGCGUGGCCGGGUCAUCAUCCAGAAAAGUUCACAGUACAAGGAGCCCUCCUCCUUCUGAGGGGGAUUCUGACGUCCCCCUAUCAAUACGGAUUUUGAGAGGGAAGAAGCCGGUUUCGAAAGAGACGGGCUCGACAAGAAAAGAAAAGGCCACAAGUGGCAAAAAGGUGGAGGGAAAGAAGAUAUUGGGGGGUAGUACGAGUGGUAAGAAGAUACAGAAGAAGGAGGUGGUGGAACAGGGACAAGGGGGGAAGAAAAAGAAGCUUCGAGUCCCCACGAGAAGUUGCAUAGGGUCGGCCAAAGGUUGGCUUGAUAUUCCUGAGAAGUUUGUGAUGUCUCCUCCGGAUACCCGCAGGGAAGACUAUUUUAAAACUUACGGGGAAGAAUGUUCCCGUGAGCCAGGGGGGGCGAGGAUUUCUGAUGCUCUCCUGAGCAAUCAGCUGGGGGAGUUGGAGUAUAUCAACAAACCAUGCGAGUUCAGGUUGGAGUACUUAGACGUGGUGAAACAGGCCUUUCAAAUCCCGGAGGAGUACGAGGUAAGGAUGCCUAGAGAAGGAGAGAUGGUCUAUCAUAGGGGGGACGACCUUUGGGUGGGGAUUCCCUUAGAACAUUUUCGUGCAGGCCUGCGGUUGCCCCUGCAUAGGUUCAUCCAUACGUUGUUGUCGGAUAUGAAGAUAGGAUUGGGCCAAUUGGGACCGAACUCUAUCAGAAAGAUUUGUGCCUUCAUUGCCAGGUGCACAGAUUUGAAGCUGGAGCCUACACUGAGUCUUUUUUGGGCGCUUCACCAACUCCAGGCGUCGAGGGGCCACAAGCCUUUGUUCGAGUUGCAUUGGAUGGGACGACCAUUAGGAGGGGUCUUGGUAGAGGGUCCGUCUAGUAACAAAGGAUGGCAUCCUGAAUUUCUGAUGUUUAGAGGGGGAGACUUGGGGUAUUUGCCUUGGUAUCGAAAUGCGGAUGUGACCACCGGGAUUGUGAAAAGACACGAAGAGAUUAAGAAGCAUGAGGUGGAGAAAGCGACCCUGUUCGUUGGGGAGGCGUUGAAGGGGUUAUGGAACGAGGCGCAUUUUAGAAAUGUUUCCUUUUUACUCAACCAUAAUUGUAAGAACUGUUUAUAGUUUGCAAGCCCUUAGCUUAUCUAGGCUUCUCUGUGUCUUUCCUGUACAUAUAUGCAUUCAUCCCUUUUGUGAGAGUCCUAACCUGUGGGUUACUCUUGUUGGUUUUUGCAGUGUUGUUGAAGAACGUCCCCAUAAUGAACAUUGAUAAGUCAAGGGCUCUUUACCUGGCCAGGACCCGGGCCCCGAAGAAGAAAGAGGGUGACGAUGUUAGUGGGACUCUUGCGGCUUCCACGGGCUCGGCGAAGGGGGAGGCGGUUACAAUUGCCCCUAAUCCGGAGGUGAUUUCAGCACAAAAGGUUCAGAAGCGUGCGGCCGAGAAAGGGAGUGAGGAAAAGGCUCCCAAGAGGGUGAGGAGGAUGGAGAAGCUUCCGGUUCAGGUCAUAGAAAACUCAUCUGACGAGGAGAAAGAGGCGGAUCUUCCUAAGGAAAUUGUGAGGACAAGAGGUGUUCCUACGGAAAUUGGAGGUUUCGUCUCAUCCGGCUCGGGGCUAGUUCCUUACGGCUCUGCUCCUCCGGCUACUGGGACCGUAGGGUACUCUUUGACACAGUUUCAAGCCGGAAGGGGAUGGCUGGGGGAUCCUUCCGAGGGACGAGCUCCUUUGGAGGCGUUGAAUAUCUUCUCUUUAUCUCCAGACAAGGAGCGGUUGGCUGCGGAGGAUGAUGACAAACUUCUGAACGCUGUCCAAGAAGUCCUUGGUCAGGUACUUGUAAUUCUUUAAUCAUCGGCCUUUGUCGUAUCCGAAUAUAUUUGGUAACGUUUGCUUUGUUGUCUUUCCUUUUUUUUUUUUCUCUUUCUUCAGUUAGGGACUAGGGUUAUGGGUCUGGUGGAAAGGACCAAGAGGAAUAUGCUCCAAGCCAAGACGGAGCGUCAGGGUCGAGAUAAAGAGAAGGCCGAUAGGAGGAAAGCUGAGACGGCGUUGGGGGAAACAAGGAAGGAAACGGAGAGGUUGCAGGAGGAACUGAGGAAAAGUAAUGAGAAGUUAGAGCAAUAUGGGAGUGAUUUGUCGAAGGCUAAAGAAGAUCUCGAGGUGGAGCAAGGGAUGUCAGAAAGCCUGCGGAUUGAGGUUGAAAGAAUGAAUGUUAUGUUGGCCAAGAAGGAUCAGGAACUCCAAAAAGAGGAGGCUGAAUUGAAGAAAGUCAACGAGAUUCUGGAGAAGACAGAGAGAGAGGCCAAUAUUACCUACCGGGACUGUGUGGAGAAGUAUAAAGAAUCACAAGAGUUUAAGGAUGAGAUAGCCGCCGGGGCGGGUUCCUUUCAUGCGGUCGGCUUUCAGGAUUGUUUGGAUUUUAUAGGCGCCGGAAACGUGGUAGACUUGGAGAAGCAUUCGGUGGAGAAAUUUCAGGACCUUCACCUGGAAGGGUAUGAGCCAGAACCCGAAGGGGUUGAUGCCGAAGGGCCGUUGCCGGUGUCUACAGUGGGUGAGGAGAAUCUGUUGAAGAGCGCGGAGGGUCGGGACGCGGGAGGAACAGUAAGGGAUAGCGGAGUUGGGGCAGACCAGGGAGACAUAUCUACCCGUAAGCCGGAGGAGGACAAGGGUUCAACGGUUCGACAAGGGGUCGAGGAGCAACCAGCUGACCUGCAGGAAGGGGACUCCGUUAUCCCGUAAGAGGGGAUUCCCGAAGUAUACUCCGCAAGGCUUCUUUGUACGCUCGUAGGAGCGGAACUGUUUAUCUCCCAGUAGUAGACUUUUGGAAUGCUUUUAAUAUGUAUUUGUUCAUUGUCCAUCGGAUUCGUGAUGACCUUGUUUCAAUGUUUGUUUCAGUCCUUAGAUUUAUGGUUUUUGUCAGACUAUUUAAUUAUAACUUGUUGCUGGAAAAAUAGCUACUUGGAAAGUGUUGCUGACUUUUAUUUAAUCUGAGCAAAACAUUAAAUGCGACUGUUUGUUUCUUUUUGGUAUGCGAAAGGUUCCAUCCCUUGAGAUACCCGAUUGAUUUCAAGGGUUUUCCUUAUAAAAGGAGAGAGGUAAUAAAACCAUUUCUUUAUCAGUUUCAGGUUUAAACUUCUUCACUCUCUUUUUUGGAUUAACAGCCCCUCGUCAGGUGUCAUGGCUAGCGGUUCUGGAGAGACUCAAUCAAAGACAAAACACCCGGACAGGAUCGAGGCUGAGGCGAUAGUAGGGCAGAUGAUGGUCGAAACUCCAGGCGGUGUCUUGAAGAUCGUGAAAGAGCUGUUAUGCAAAGAUUUGGUAGAGAAAUUGGCGAAGCGGAAGGAGAAGAUUCGUCAACAGAGGGAGCGAAUCAUAGACUUGGAGGUCCGCGUGGAAGAACUAGAGGAGGCCGUUCAUGAGGCCUGGGAAGAUAACGACAGCCUUCGUCGGGACCUUGGUGUUGGGCCUGAAUAUUGAAACAAUCAUGUGGUUUCGUUUUCUUUGGUUAAAGUAUCAAAUAUCUUUACAGU